rnacentral:rRNA from 1 species
GAUGAACGCUGGCGGCGUGCCUAAUACAUGCAAGUCGAGCGAACAGACGAGGAGCUUGCUCCUUUGACGUUAGCGGCGGACGGGUGAGUAACACGUGGGUAACCUACCUAUAAGACUGGGAUAACUUCGGGAAACCGGAGCUAAUACUGGAUAAUAUUUCGAACCGCAUGGUUCGAUAGUGAAAGAUGGCUUUGCUAUCACUUAUAGAUGGACCUGCGCCGGAUUAGCUAGUUGGUAAGGUAACGGCUUACCAAGGCAACGAUACGUAGCCGACCUGAGAGGGUGAUCGGCCACACUGGAACUGAGACACGGUCCAGACUCCUACGGGAGGCAGCAGUAGGGAAUAUUCCGCAAUGGGCGAAAGCCUGACGGAGCAACGCCGCGUGAGUGAUGAAGGUCUUCGGAUCGUAAAACUCUUUUAUUAGGGAAGAACAAACGUGUAAGUAACUGUGCACGUCUUGACGGUACCUAAUCAGAAAGCCACGGCUAACUACGUG